AUUGAACGCUGGCGGCGUGCUUUACACAUGCAAGUUGUACGGUAACAUGGAUGAGCAAUCAUUUGAUGACGAGUAGCGAACGGGUGAGUAGAACAUCGGGACAUACCUAGAAAAGUGGGAUAGCCAGAUGAAAGUUUGGAUAAUACCACAUAAUCUCUGAGGAGGAAAGAUGGGGACCGCAAGGCCUAUCGAUUUUAGAAUGACCGAUGCCUGAUUAGCUAGUUGGUGAGGUAAAGGCUUACCAAGGCGAUGAUCAGUAGCUGUUCUGAGAGGAAGAUCAGCCACACUGGGACUGAGACACGGCCCAGACUCCUACGGGAGGCAGCAGUGGGGAAUCUUGGACAAUGGGGGCAACCCUGAUCCAGCAACGCCGCGUGAAUGAAGAAGGCCUUAGGGUUGUAAAGUCUUUAGUCUGUGAGCAAAUGGCAUAUGCGAAUAGUGUAUGUUUAUGAGAGUAGCAG
rnacentral:rRNA from 1 species